GGCGGAGUAGCAAAGUGGUUACUGCGAUUGACUCGAAAUCAAUUGCCUUCGGGCGCGCAGGUUCGAAUCCUGCCUCCGUCG
rnacentral:tRNA from 1 species